UAGGGAAUCUUCCACAAUGGACGCAAGUCUGAUGGAGCAACGCCGCGUGAGUGAAGAAGGUUUUCGGACCGUAAAAGCUCUGUUGUUGGUGAAGAAGGAUAGAGGUAGUAACUGGCCUUUAUUUGACGGUAAUCAACCAGAAAGUCACGGCUAACUACGUGCCAGCAGCCGCGGUAAUACGUAGGCGGCAAGCGUUGUCCGGAUUUAUUGGGCGUAAAGCGAGCGCAGGCGGAAGAAUAAGUCUGAUGUGAAAGCCCUCGGCUUAACCGAGGAAUUGCAUCGGAAACUGUUUUUCUUGAGUGCAGAAGAGGAGAGUAGAACUCCAUGUGUAGCGGUGGAAUGCGUAGAUAUAUGGAAGAAUACCAGUGGCGAAGGCGGCUCUCUGGUCUGCAACUGACGCUGAGGCUCGAAAAGCAUGGGUAGCGAACAGGAUUAGAUACCCUGGUAGUCCAUGCCGUAAAACGAUGAGUACUAAGUGUUGGGAGGCUUCCGCCUCUCAGUGCUGCAGCUAAACGCAUUAAGCACUCCGCCUGGGGGAGUACGACCGCAA
rnacentral:rRNA from 1 species